rnacentral:rRNA from 1 species
UACGGGGGGAGCAAGCGUUGUUCGGAUUUACUGGGCGUAAAGGGCGCGUAGGCGGUCACGACAAGUCAGUUGUGAAAUCUCUGGGCUUAACUCAGAACGGUCAACUGAUACUGUCGGACUAGAGUGCAGAAGGGGCAACUGGAAUUCUCGGUGUAGCGGUGAAAUGCGUAGAUAUCGAGAGGAACACCUGCGGCGAAGGCGGGUUGCUGGGCUGACACUGACGCUGAGGCGCGAAAGCUAGGGGAGCGAACGGG